rnacentral:rRNA from 1 species
AAAAAAGGUAAGCUACUAAGAGCGAAUGGUGGAUGCCUUGACUGGUAAAGGCGAUGAAGGACGUACUAGACUGCGAUAAGCUACGGGGAGCUGUCAAGAAGCUUUGAUCCGUAGAUUUCCGAAUGGGGCAACCCAAUGUAUAGAGAUAUACAUUACCUAUAUAGGAGCGAACGAGGGGAAUUGAAACAUCUUAGUACCCUCAGGAAAAGAAAUCAAUAGAGAUUGCGUCAGUAGCGGCGAGCGAAAGCGCAAGAGGGCAAACCCAGUGCUUGCACUGGGGGUUGUAGGACUGCAAUGUGCAAGAGGUGAGUUUAGCAGAACAUUCUGGAAAGUAUAGCCAUAGAGGGUGAUAGUCCCGUAUGCGAAAAACAAACCUUAGCUAGCAGUAUCCUGAGUAGGGCGGGACACGAGAAAUCCUGUCUGAAGCUGGGUCGACCACGAUCCAACCCUAAAUACUAAUACCAGAUCGAUAGUGCACAAGUACCGUGAGGGAAAGGUGAAAAGAACUGAGGUGAUCAGAGUGAAAUAGAACCUGAAACCAUUUGCUUACAAUCAUUCAGAGCCCUAUGUAGCAAUACAGGGUGAUGGACUGCCUUUUGCAUAAUGAGCCUGCGAGUUGUGGUGUCUGGCAAGGUUAAGCAAACGCGAAGCCGUAGCGAAAGCGAGUCUGAAUAGGGCGCUUAGUCAGAUGCUGCAGACCCGAAACGAAGUGAUCUAUCCAUGAGCAAGUUGAAGCUAGUGUAAGAACUAGUGGAGGACUGAACCCAUAGGCGUUGAAAAGCCCCGGGAUGACUUGUGGAUAGGGGUGAAAGGCCAAUCAAACUUCGUGAUAGCUGGUUCUCUCCGAAAUAUAUUUAGGUAUAGCGUUGUGUCGUAAUAUAAGGGGGUAGAGCACUGAAUGGGCUAGGGCAUACACCAAUGUACCAAACCCUAUCAAACUCCGAAUACCUUAUAUGUAAUCACAGCAGUCAGGCGGCGAGUGAUAAAAUCCGUCGUCAAGAGGGAAACAACCCAGACUACCAGCUAAGGUCCCUAAAUCUUACUUAAGUGGAAAACGAUGUGAAGUUACUUAAACAACCAGGAGGUUGGCUUAGAAGCAGCCAUCCUUUAAAGAAAGCGUAAUAGCUCACUGGUCUAGUGAUUUUGCGCGGAAAAUAUAACGGGGCUAAAGUAAGUACCGAAGCUGUAGACUUGCGCACAACUUAGAUUAUUUAAGUUUAGAAUAUGAGAAACUAAGUUAUAUGUUUAGUUAUAUUUUUACUGAUUUUUAUAGAGUAAAGAUAGAAAUAAAACUUAGUAAAAUCAGUAAAAAUAUUCUUAGACUAAAGUUAAGUAGUUUAAGUUGUGUGCAAGUGGUAGGAGAGCGUUCUAUUUGCGUCGAAGGUAUACCGGUAAGGAGUGCUGGAGCGAAUAGAAGUGAGCAUGCAGGCAUGAGUAGCGAUAAUUAAUGUGAGAAUCAUUAACGCCGUAAACCCAAGGUUUCCUACGCGAUGCUCGUCAUCGUAGGGUUAGUCGGGUCCUAAGUCGAGUCCGAAAGGGGUAGACGAUGGCAAAUUGGUUAAUAUUCCAAUACCAACAUUAGUGUGCGAUGGAAGGACGCUUAGGGCUAAGGGGGCUAGCGGAUGGAAGUGCUAGUCUAAGGUCGUAGGAGGUUAUACAGGCAAAUCCGUAUAACAAUACUCCGAGAACUGAAAGGCUUUUUGAAGUCUUCGGAUGGAUAGAAGAACCCCUGAUGCCGUCGAGCCAAGAAAAGUUUCUAAGUUUAGCUAAUGUUGCCCGUACCGUAAACCGACACAGGUGGGUGGGAUGAGUAUUCUAAGGCGCGUGGAAGAACUCUCUUUAAGGAACUCUGCAAAAUAGCACCGUAUCUUCGGUAUAAGGUGUGGUUCGCUUCGUAUUAGGAUUUACUCCGAAAGCGAAGAAACUUACAACAAAGAGUCCCUCCCGACUGUUUACCAAAAACACAGCACUCUGCUAACUCGUAAGAGGAUGUAUAGGGUGUGACGCCUGCCCGGUGCUCGAAGGUUAAUUGAUGGGGUUAGCAUUAGCGAAGCUCUUGAUCGAAGCCCGAGUAAACGGCGGCCGUAACUAUAACGGUCCUAAGGUAGCGAAAUUCCUUGUCGGUUAAAUACCGACCUGCAUGAAUGGCGUAACGAGAUGGGAGCUGUCUCAAAGAGGGAUCCAGUGAAAUUGUAGUGGAGGUGAAAAUUCCUCCUACCCGCGGCAAGACGGAAAGACCCCGUGGACCUUUACUACAGCUUGACACUGCUAUUUGGAUAAGAAUGUGCAGGAUAGGUGGGAGGCUUUGAGUAUAUGACGCCAGUUGUAUAUGAGCCAUUGUUGAGAUACCACUCUUUCUUAUUUGGGUAGCUAACCAGCUUGAGUUAUCCUCAAGUGGGACAAUGUCUGGUGGGUAGUUUGACUGGGGCGGUCGCCUCCCAAAUAAUAACGGAGGCUUACAAAGGUUGGCUCAGAACGGUUGGAAAUCGUUCGUAGAGUAUAAAGGUAUAAGCCAGCUUAACUG